AACGUAGGGAGCGAGCGUUGCCCGGAUUCACUGGGCGUAAAGCGGGUGUAGGCGGUCCGUUAAGUCGGAUGUGAAAUCCCACGGCUCAACCGUGGAAUUGCAUCCGAUACUGGCGGACUUGAGGACGGUAGAGGUCGGUGCGAUUCCCGGUGUACCGGUGAAAUGGGCAGAUAUCGGGAGGAACACCAGUGGCGAAGGCGGCCGACUGGGCCGAUCCUGACGCUGAGACCCGAAAGCCAGGGGAGCGAACCGG
rnacentral:misc_RNA from 1 species